rnacentral:rRNA from 1 species
CAGCAGCCGCGGUAAUACCGGCGGCCCGAGUGGCGGUCACUAUUAUUGGGCUUAAAGCGUCCGUAGCCGGGGUGGGAAGUCCUCCGGGAAAUCUGGCCGCUUAACGGUCAGAAUGCCGGAGGAUACUCCCAGCCUAGGGAGCGGGGGAGGCCGAGGGUAUUCCCGGAGUAGGGGGGAAAUCCUAUAAUCCCGGGAGGACCACCUGUGGCGAAGGCGCUCGGCUGGAACGCGUCCGACGGUGAGGGACGAAGGCCAGGGGAGCAAACCGGAUUAGAUACCCGGGUAGUCCUGGCUGUAAACGAUGCGGACUUUGUGUCGGACAAGCUAUGAGCUUGUCCGGUGCCGGAGGGAAACCGUUAAGUCCGCCGCCUGGGGAGUACGGCCGCAAGGCUGAAACUUAAAGGAAUUGGCGGG